AUUGAACGCUGGCGGCAUGCCUUACACAUGCAAGUCGAACGGCAGCACGGGAGCAAUCCUGGUGGCGAGUGGCGAACGGGUGAGUAAUAUAUCGGAACGUGCCCAGUCGUGGGGGAUAACGUAGCGAAAGCUACGCUAAUACCGCAUACGAUCUAUGGAUGAAAGCGGGGGAUCGCAAGACCUCGCGCGAUUGGAGCGGCCGAUAUCAGAUUAGGUAGUUGGUGAGGUAAAGGCUCACCAAGCCGACGAUCUGUAGCUGGUCUGAGAGGACGACCAGCCACACUGGAACUGAGACACGGUCCAGACUCCUACGGGAGGCAGCAGUGGGGAAUUUUGGACAAUGGGCGCAAGCCUGAUCCAGCAAUGCCGCGUGCAGGAUGAAGGCCUUCGGGUUGUAAACUGCUUUUGUACGGAACGAAACGGUGAGCUCUAAUACAGUUUGCUAAUGACGGUACCGUAAGAAUAAGCACCGGCUAACUACGUGCCAGCAGCCGCCGCGG
rnacentral:rRNA from 1 species